GUUACCUCACAAAACCAGGGGGCGUUCACCAGCCAAUACCGAGCCCUUCUGGCAACAAAUGGCCACAAACCGAUCAAAGGUGAAAGUGACGGUGAACCAGACAGAGCAGUCAGUGGCUGCAUAAAGCAGGACGGCGUGGAUAUUACACACGGGGACAGAGUACCACAGGAAAGAAAACUGUUCCAGAUAAACAAUGGGAAUGUGUCUCAGGAUCAGGUCGAGGAUAAUGACCAGGAGAUCCGCCGCUGCCAUGGCCCCCAGGUAUCUGUGUUAGCUGUUUGAAUUCAGAAUUGGCUGGCCAACCGAAGACAGUGAGGGGUAGUGGAAGAAAAAUAUUCUGCCUGGAAGUC